rnacentral:rRNA from 1 species
UACGUAGGGUGCAAGCGUUGUCCGGAAUUAUUGGGCGUAAAGAGCUCGUAGGCGGUCUGUCGCGUCGGCUGUGAAAACUCGGGGCUCAACUCCGAGCUUGCAGUCGAUACGGGCAGGCUAGAGUUCGGCAGGGGAGACUGGAAUUCCUGGUGUAGCGGUGAAAUGCGCAGAUAUCAGGAGGAACACCGGUGGCGAAGGCGGCUCUCUGGACCGAUACUGACGCUGAGGCGCGAAAGCGUGGGGAGCAAACAGG